rnacentral:rRNA from 1 species
AGUACGUGGACGUAGACCCGAAACCGGGUGAUCUACCCCUGUCCAGGGUGAAGGUGCGGUAACACGCACUGGAGGCCCGAACCCACGCAUGUUGAAAAAUGCGGGGAUGAGGUGGGGGUAGCGGAGAAAUUCCAAUCGAACCCGGAGAUAGCUGGUUCUCCCCGAAAUAGCUUUAGGGCUAGCCUCGGAAAGAAGAAUCGUGGAGGUAGAGCACUGAUUGGGUGCGGGGCCCGCAAGGGUUACCAAGCUCAGUCAAACUCCGAAUGCCAUAGAUUUAGUUCCGGGAGUCAGACAGUGAGUGCUAAGAUCCAUUGUCGAAAGGGAAACAGCCCAGACCAUCAGCUAAGGUCCCCAAGUGUGUGUUAAGUGGGAAAGGAUGUGGAGUUGCACAGACAACCAGGAUGUUGGCUUAGAAGCAGCCACCAUUGAAAGAGUGCGUAAUAGCUCACUGGUCGAGUGACUCUGCGCCGAAAAUGUAACGGGGCUAAACACACCACCGAAGCUAUGGCUUGAUGCUUUGCAUCAGGGGUAGGGGAGCGUUGAAUGCGGGUUGAAGGUGUACC